CGAUGGCUUGGGAGGCGGUCCCUGGCCGGCCGGCGCUGAUUGGCUGCCUCCUGAGCGCCCCGCCCCCUGUGCACGCGCAGGAGGCGGGGCGUCCCGGGACGGGCUCGGGCGCGCGCGGCGCGGCUCCGCGGACGGAGCGUCCGUGACCCGCGUGCCGGCCCCGGUGUCCCUGCCCGGGCGUUCGCGAGGUGGGGGCGAGCGGGCGGCGGCGGCGGGGCGCAGCGGGGUGGAGGCUGGCGGGGCGCUGAAAGCCCCGCUGGCCCGGGCGGCACUCCGCAGCCACGGCCAUCCAGGCGCCCCGCGGGGACUGGGAGCCACCCGAGGGGCCGUCGCCGUCGCCAGCCCGGUAGCCCGGAUGUCUCUGCCCUCCGCGGCGGGGCCGCCGACGCGCUCCCAGGCCCCGCGAGGAGGCUCGUCUUAAAGGGACAGCGCCGCGUGCAGCCGGAGGGGCGGCGCGUCCUGCCCUUGUGCGCGACCCCUGCCCCCCGGGGCCGCCGCGCGCCGCCGCCGCGAGCCCCCUCCUCCUGGUGGGCGCCGUGGGAGCGGCGCGCCCGGCCGGGGGUGGCCGCAGAUGGCUGCCCGGAGGCCAGGUUUUCCUGCGGCCGAGCCGUGGCCGGUGGCGCCGUGCGGGGCCGGGAGGCGCCGGCCUGUGAUUGGCCGAGGCCAUGGUGAAUGCAGGACAUUGUCUGUCGCGGCCGUCUCUGUCCUCGCCCGCCGCCGGCCACAGUCAACACGGGUGCGGAGCCGGGCGGCCCCGCGGUGGGGAACGGCGUGGAGGGAAAGCGGAACGUUCACGCGACGACAGAUUUAAGAAUGGCGCAGAGGUGCCGUUUCCAAACACAGAAUCAUUACCAACAAGGGAAUAAAACCACGGUGCUUGGCAUAAAGAUCUCCUUCCCUGAAGAUUCCAUGUACUGCGGUAGUUGAAAAAGGCCAACUGUUACGGCGUAGUUUUGUCUUCAAGAUCUCUUUAAUUAGGAUCUAUGAUAAUUCAUCUGAAUAUUCUUUAAGAAUUUUAAGAAAAUUAUACGUAUAAAUAUAUAUGCAGAUAUCUGAAAUAGCCUUGUUUUGGACAGGACAGCCUGCUUGGGUCUUAGUUUCCACAUGUGUAAAAAGUCGACCCUGGACUGGUAGCUUUCCACGUUUGCUCAAUUUGUUAAAAUAACUCGGAUUCUGAUCCUCGACUUAGAAUCCUGAUAUUUCCUCUGUAAGGGAUCCCAUCUCAAGACCUGGGAGUAGACGAGACCUUUUAAGAGCCCUGGAGGACAUCACAGUUCUCUGCUUGUCUUUGAAAAUAUGUGGGAGUUACUUAAGCAGGGCUGUAAUCUUUCCGGGUGUAAUUUCGGAGUAAAGGAAAAUGAGAGCAGUAAAGAAAUGUAUGGAGAUCAAUCAGUUAUUACUCCACGGUUUUCUUUCAUCUUAAAUAAGUUUUCCAGUGAAGAGAAACAAGGAAAUUUUAAAAAAAUAUUGUAGCAGCUUCCUCAGGUGACAGCUGUUCCCAGGCUCCUCGCUCUCACCCAUCAUAAAAAAGCAGAAGUCAGCGUAAAGAGUAGCUCUCUCCAGAAGUGAAACAGAAAGUCAAGCAUCCCUAUCACCUGUUUUUUUAAAGAAGCACCUGGCUUUCCCACCAUCUUGGACCCUGUGGAGGCCUGCAGGGAACGGGUCUCCGGAACCAGAGGGAGCACACAGCUCUUCUUAAAAUUGAAGGUGUUUACGCUCGAGAUGAAACAGAAUUCUGUCUAGGCAAGAGAUGUGCUUAUGUGAACAAAGCAAAGAACACCACAGUGACUCCUGGUGGCAAACCGAACAAAACCAGAGUCAUCUGGGGAAGGAAACUCGUGCUCAUGGGAACAGUGGCAUGGUUCCUGCUAAAUUCCGAAGCAACCUUCCUGCUAAGGCUAGGGGACACAGAAUCCGUGUAAUGUUGUACCCCUCAAGGGUUUAAACUUAACUGAAAAUAAAUAAAAUGGAUUUGUUAGAUAAAUAAAUAAAUAAAUAAAUAAGAAGCAUCUCUCAAAUUUGCAUCUACUGU